rnacentral:rRNA from 1 species
AGAGUUUGAUCCUGGCUCAGAUUGAACGCUGGCGGCAGGCCUAACACAUGCAAGUCGAACGGUAGCACAGAGAGCUUGCUCUUGGGUGACGAGUGGCGGACGGGUGAGUAAUGUCUGGGAAACUGCCUGAUGGAGGGGGAUAACUACUGGAAACGGUAGCUAAUACCGCAUAACGUCGCAAGACCAAAGAGGGGGACCUUCGGGCCUCUUGCCAUCAGAUGUGCCCAGAUGGGAUUAGCUAGUAGGUGGGGUAACGGCUCACCUAGGCGACGAUCCCUAGCUGGUCUGAGAGGAUGACCAGCCACACUGGAACUGAGACACGGUCCAGACUCCUACGGGAGGCAGCAGUGGGGAAUAUUGCACAAUGGGCGCAAGCCUGAUGCAGCCAUGCCGCGUGUAUGAAGAAGGCCUUCGGGUUGUAAAGUACUUUCAGCGAGGAGGAAGGCGAUACGGUUAAUAACCGUGUCGAUUGACGUUACUCGCAGAAGAAGCACCGGCUAACUCCGUGCCAGCAGCCGCGGUAAUACGGAGGGUGCAAGCGUUAAUCGGAAUUACUGGGCGUAAAGCGCACGCA